UGGGGAAUUUUGGACAAUGGGCGCAAGCCUGAUCCAGCAAUGCCGCGUGCAGGAUGAAGGCCUUCGGGUUGUAAACCGCUUUUGUACGGAGCGAAAAGGUCUGCCCUAAUACGGUGGGCUCAUGACGGUACCGUAAGAAUAAGCACCGGCUAACUACGUGCCAGCAGCCGCGGUAAUACGUAGGGUGCAAGCGUUAAUCGGAAUUACUGGGCGUAAAGCGUGCGCAGGCGGUUAUGCAAGACGGAUGUGAAAUCCCCGGGCUCAACCUGGGAACUGCAUUUGUGACUGCAUAGCUGGAGUGCGGCAGAGGGGGAUGGAAUUCCGCGUGUAGCAGUGAAAUGCGUAGAUAUGUGGAGGAACACCGAUGGCGAAGGCAGCCCCCUGGGUCAAGAUUGACGCUCAUGCACGAGAGCGUGGGGAGCAAACA
rnacentral:rRNA from 1 species